rnacentral:rRNA from 1 species
GUAGGGGGCAAGCGUUGUCCGGAAUUAUUGGGCGUAAAGCGCGCGCAGGCGGUUCUUUAAGUCUGAUGUGAAAUCUUGUGGCUCAACCACAAGCGGUCAUUGGAAACUGGGGAACUUGAGUACAGAAGAGGAGAGUGGAAUUCCACGUGUAGCGGUGAAAUGCGUAGAUAUGUGGAGGAACACCAGUGGCGAAGGCGACUCUCUGGUCUGUAACUGACGCUGAGGCGCGAAAGCGUGGGGGGAGCAAACAGGAUUAGAUACCCUGGUAGUCCACGCCGUAAACGAUGAGUGCUAGGUGUUAGGGGGUUUCCGCCCCCCCCCUCAGUGCUGCAGCUAACGCAUUAAGCACUCCGCCUGGGAGUACGGCCGCAGGCUG